CCUACGGGAGGCAGCAGUGGGGAAUUCUGGACAAUGGGCGCAAGCCUGAUCCAGCCAUGCCGCGUGAGUGAAGAAGGCCUUCGGGUUGUAAAGCUCUUUCGGCCGGAAAGAAAUCGCACAGGUUAAUACCCUGUGUGGAUGACGGUACCGGAAUAAGAAGCACCGGCUAACUACGUGCCAGCAGCCGCGGUAAU
rnacentral:rRNA from 1 species